CGCCAGGAGAGGCGAGGAGCAGCAUCACCAGAGUCAGGUCCCGAGAGACAGAGGUGAGGGCCAUGUUGCUCCUGCCUGAACUGCAACCGCUGCAGCAAAGCGGUGCAGGAUCUGCAGCAGCUGGUGCUAUCGGUGCUGCCGGAGCACGUGGCCACUCCAGGUGCUGAAUUCUGGGCUUGAGGGACCUGGAGGAGCUGGUGCAGCAGGGCAGCCUGUCCUGCUGCAGCUCUGCCAAUGACCAGAGCGAGGAGCAGCGUGGAGCAUCAGCUUGCGAGUCAAGUGCUGAGGGACAGACACGUGGGCCACGGUGCUCCUGCUCCAGCUGCAACCGCAGCAGCAAAGCGGUGCAGGAGCUGCAGCAGCUGGUGCUGUCGGGGCUGCCUGAGCACGUGGCCGCUCUAAGCCCUGAAUUCUGGGUGGUGGCCUGGACGGACCUGUUGGAGAGAGUGGAGUGGGGCAUCCUGUGCUGCUGCAUCUGCCCCGUACCAGAGAAAGGAGCGACGUGGAGCAGCAUCACGGGA